UGCGUAGACGGUUAUGUAAGUCGGGUGUGAAAGCCCCGGGCUCAACCUGGGAAUUGCAUUCGAGACUGCAUAGCUAGGGUGCGGAAGAGGGAAGCGGAAUUUCAGGUGUAGCGGUGAAAUGCGUAGAUAUCUGAAGGAACACCAGUGGCGAAAGCGGCUUCCUGGUCCAGCACCGACGUUCAGGCACGAAAGCGUGGGGAGCAAACAGGAUUAGAUACCCUGGUAGUCCACGCCAUAAACGAUGAGAACUAGACGUUGAGAGGGUAAGCCUCCCAGUGUCGCAGCUAACGCGCUAAGUUCUCCGCCUGGGGAGUACGGCCGCAAGGUUGAA
rnacentral:rRNA from 1 species